CAAGCUCAGUUCCUCCUCCUUAAUUGCAAUCAAUGCAAGACCAGCAGGGAGAGAAAUCCAUGUUUCUUUUCAGCUUUUGCUAGUUCACAAGUGUUUGCAAGUUGUGAAACUACGGAGGAUAUAUUAACAGGGCAGGUCUAGCAAAGGACAAGACACAGAGUGCACAGUUUAUGUCUCGCCCAAGAGGCUGAAUGACCCCGUCUAAGCGCAUAGAUCAAGUCGGCAGGGAAAGGCCUCAAGUCUCCAUUGUUUUUACACAGAAAAGCAACAGGACUGUGUCCUGCCUGAAGAGAGAACAAGAAGGCAAGUCAACAGCAGAAAAAACCUGACAACUGGAUUUCAUUCUCAGAGCACCUGCAUCUCCCACUGCUAUCAGAGCUGCGGGUGCCUGGCACUUCUGAAAAUGCAACCAGCUUAUUCAUCCUGUCUUAGAAUGAAGAGUUGCACAAGUACAGUACAAAAUGGAGUCUUUCCUUUUCUACCAUUCACCAAGCACAGAUUACUGCAUCAGUCAAGGUUUAUGGAACAGAAGUGUAUAUACGCUACCUUUAUUCCAUUUCUUCAAGUACCACACAUGUUUGAUUCACUCUUCUCCACCGUGAUUUUACAUUUUUCACAGGAGAAAAGCUCAGCAAGUCAGUAGUUUGUUUGAACCAUCACUGGUAAAGUGCAGGUGGAUAAGUAUUUUGGAUAUGGCUGUUUUUCUAGCCACAAGGUCUCAUUACUGUUGCUGCUAUGAAAUCUCCCCAUGGUUUCUGACAUAAAUGCCAUGCUCAGACCCUGGGUCACUAGUCCUGGAGGUCUGUAAAGCUGGAACUUCAAACAUGGGCCUCAGAAUAAGAUUUCAGUUCAUCAGACUGUUGUGGGAUCCCCAGAACAGUGAAACAGGCAACCAUUUCACUUGAUGGCUACAUGACAACAGUAGGAGUUUUACAGUUUAUUGAAACAUUCACCACCUUCAUCAUCACUUGGAUUUACCAGCUGCAUUGUCCCGAAGGCCCCGACAGAAUCAGAACCUUACUGGGCCACAGAUUUUUUUAUAGACAGCCAGAAGAUAUAGAUCAUGUUUCAAAGAGAUAAAGAUUUACACUUGAAAGAGGUUAUGAAAUGACUUCUGUCUCAGAAAACAGCAUCGAUAGCCAUUACUCAGUCUGUCCAGCUGGCUCAAAGGCACUUCCUGAUUUGGAGGAAGAAAACCUGCCAGCUUUUGAAAUGAAUAUAUUAUUAUUACUGGUAUCUUGCUUUUUAAUCCUUCACUAUGUGGAUAGCAUGAUCCUCAUCAAAAAGGAAACCAGAAGGGUGCGCACAUGCUGCCAAAAGUCUGCUAGAAAAGGAUUCUUGGCUAAAAUUUUCAAAGCUGCUUGAAAGGAUUUCCUGCUGACUUCAGUCCUGUAAAUCCAGCCUUCCCUGCACAAGGAUAAAGGAGAGGCUACACACCAACAUCAACAUUUAUUUAGCUUUAUGAUCAACUUACAUUUUCCCUUUAAACUGGAAUCUCAGGCUCAGAACCUUGUUCUUAGUGAUGACCUGGUCUGCUGUCUGCACCACUAUAAAAGACUGAGGACAAAAAGCCCUGUCCAUAACCCACUGUACAACAGACACUUGCAAAAUGCCACAAUCCCCAAAGCUGAUCUGGUGGACUGAGCUGUUCAGCAUAAUCCAACUCUUAAUGUCAAAGAAAAAUUAUUUCUCAGUAGCAAUUAAUCACCUGGAAUAUGCAGCAAAAGGCAAUUCAACUGAGUUUUAGUUUCUCAUGCAAAAUAAUCAACAGAGAAAGAAUCAUAAUAACAAUCUAAGCUAGGCCAGUAAGGCAGUAAUUUUGUGGUGUUUAUGUUUAUUCAGCACGUGGAGCAGAUAUAAGGUCAGUCAGAGCUAAGUCGUUGGUAUGAACCAGCAGACUUAGAAUUGUCUGUUUUACCUCUGCAAGGUACUUCUGCCAACUCUCUGUGUGCACAUACGCAGGCACGUCGCAAGAAGAGCCAAAGGCCACGAAUGCAUUGCAAAGUGCAAGUUUUAUUUUAGUUACCUCUCUACUGGGGGAUCUCUGAAGUGGCAGACAGAGGUGACACCAGCGGGGACGCAGGCGCUGGUCAGUUCAGCCCUCUGGAAGAUCACUUGGCCCACUGAGCUCACCUGUAUUUCAAGGCUUCAGGCAGGCACAGCCUCCUGCUCUUUCUCACAACAAAGCAGGAAUCUCAGACACAGUGAUAAGGUGCCUGGAGUUUCUGACAGGCCUAUCUAACCCAGAGGUUCUACUCAUCAAGCACACAGGUCAGUAAAACAAUUAGUGUGAUCUAUGUGCUUUUCCUACAGACAAGGUGCAAGUCAGUUGAGUGUAUUUACAUUUAACUAACCUCCUUGCCAAAUCUCCUGCUACAUUCCCAUACACUCUCAUAUGCUAAAUAUUUCCAUUAAUAUUUCUGGAAAUUACUGCUGAGUUAUUAGUUGUGAUCGGGAUGUAAAUGAUGCAAAAAGAUUGUUCCUCAGGGCCAUGAAGAAUGAAGAGAUAGGCAGUCUUGGAAAGAUCACAACAGAUGAACAAAACACAUGAGAAAAUGGGAACUCAGAUUUAUAUGACAAUCCUAUCUUUGCUUCAUUAAUGAGGGCCUAGUAAAGACAUGAGAAUCUUGCUCUAGUCCCCAUUAACUUCCCUGGGCAGUGUAUCAGACUCCUAAGGCAGCUUAUGAUGCCCUGCUGAAGACAGAAUGGGACUCUCUGAUAAUGAAGAACCAAAAGCACAGGCACGUUAGUUAAGCAGUCAGCCGUGACACCAUUAGAGCUGCAACCAAAAUUACCACAAAGCAAUGAAACUGCAAUUUCUAAUAGGCCAUAGGCUUCAAACCAAAAGCCACAGCACCUUCCCAGGAACAUAAAACCCAAGAUGCUUUCUCCUUAAGCUAGCCAAAAGAAAAGCAGCAGUACCGUGCUGCACAGGGAGUCAAUAACCAACAAGAAGAUCACUUUGUUAAUGCAUAAAGAACUACCAUAUACACACUGUCUUAUAAAAUGGAAACUCUGACAGUCACUCAGCAUUGUAAGUAUCCUUAAUACCCAGGAUCUCUCUUUUCUGAUUAAUACAGAGGCUGUGUUUCUUGGAGUUUUGUCCUUGCUAGAGCCUGCUGUCUUAGUGACUGUAGACAGUUUUCUCCUCGUUGUUUCUCUGUAUGGUAAGCAAGGACAUAACACAACCUCCUUUACACAAAGAAACAUUUUUCUCUCUUCUGCACACACUGUGACUCUAACCAUCCACUUCCAGUUACAAUGGGUAACCCAAAGCAACAGAAAUAUCAUUCUUUCUGUCUCUACUCCCUCUAGAUUUUACCAUUGCACUUACCUGAGCUGUGGGAGUAGUUAUGGAGAAAUGGAGAUGACUUGUGCACUUUGGCUUCUUCUGUUCCAGCCAGCAACACACUGGCAGUAAUCUCUUCCUCCUAUGGAGAUAAAGAGAGAUAAUUAAGAUAAACUAGACUUGCUGUUGUGCUCCCUGCUGGGAGGUAUUAAGAAGGAACACACGCUGGUCUGCUUCAAAAGACUUGUGAGGUAUAGAUGAGCUUUGCCGUUUGGAGAUGGGGCAGAAGCUUUUGAUGUGUUUCACUUAGGACAAUGCAAGAAAAUGAUUUCACUUCUUUUUCAUUUUGUGCAGUGUUCAAUGAUUGGACCUAGUGUUGAACUUACAACUGGAUAUUCAUGUGCUGAAACCAGGGGUCAGGGAAAUGCUACUUCAGUAUCUGUGGAAGGAACAUUAUACGAAAUGCAUUAGGGAAGGGUAGGUAGUAUAGAACUUCCAUUUCCAAACUGGCUCCUUGGGAGACGUGACAAUGCUGGGUUUUAAAAUACUGAACAAUUUGCAUUUAUUUAUAUAUAUAUAUUAAAAAAGGGAGAACCGUGUACAAAGGAAACCACAAACACGUACAGAAUGCCUACCGCCAGCAACAUCGUGGCGUUUGCCAGUACUUAAAGGUUAUGUCUGUCAUGUUUAGAUGUGGCAUAAACUCUUCCACCCUUUCCCACAUAAUUGGACAUCAUACUGAUAGGUAAAAUUGAAUAGGUUAUGAACAACUCUCCUAUAGACUUGCAGGGUUUAUUGAUAGACAGGGCUUGGAGAGAAGGCCUAAUUUUAUGCAUGAACAUGUCAUGCUAGAAUAAUUACGCAACCUCUUGCUUUCCUUCUGCAGUACAUUGUGAAACCCCACAACAGUUCCUGGGAAUUCAUACCUUUCACUUUUGCAUAAACACAACUGAUGUAGUUAACAAGGGGCAAUAAAUUAUUAAGGUGGAUGCAACAUAUAACCAAAAAUAAAGAUGUGAAUAGUUAUAUAUAUAUAUAUAUAUAUAUAUAUAAAAUUGUAUUGCUGUCAAGGUGUAUGAAAGUCACUUCAGCCUAUACACCUUUUGUAAACAGCAGCAAAUGCAGAAUUAGCUCUCAUUGAGAGAUCUAUGAUCAUUGCUUUCCUUCUCCUACUUUUCUGGCUGACUGAUGGACAUGUGAGCAAACACUGAGGUGGCAUUUUGCCUCUGGUCAGCCUGAAUUGUGGUUUGUUUUUUAUUUAGUUCAUGGUAAGUUUAACCACUGUGAAGUAUCCCAUUUUAGUCUAAAAUGAGAAAUCUUUCUGGAUCAUUGCUGAAAAUCACUGACAGCUGACUAUAAACUUGCUCUCACCUAAGCAGGCUGAACGAAAACUUACGGUUAAGGGAAGGAAAAUGUUGGGAUGGGGAGAAAAUCUCAAGCUGAAAAUAGCUGCACACUGGGAAGGUGAUAUUAGGGGGAUGGAGGAGUAUCCUCAUACUUUCUCUGUUCUUAUUCUCUCCAGGCAUCUGUUCACUGUCACAGUUUUAUGUAUUUUUUUUAAACUAGUACACAAUGUUCACGCCUAUAUUUCACAUUUGGAAAAGCAGAUUUCAAAUAGCAAUACAAAAAGUAUCCAUGAAGAAUGUAUAAUCUCUGAAAAAACCUGACAGCAUUCUUGCUACUCUUUCAUUUCUAAAUACAAAGCUGACUGCCAUAUUGCUGCUUCUGUUUUUGUGGUGAGAAAAGUUCAUUUUUUGUGUGAAUGGCAUGAAUGACAGUCUCCCAACUUUGAUUUCUUUGUCAUUUAGGAUUUUUUCUCCUGAAGAAAGAUGUUCUAAGUGCACAGCUAGCUCAUCACAUCCAGUUUAGGACAGAGCUAAAAGAGCCUCUGGGUCAUUUACGUCUGAGCAGAAGCACUUUAGUUGCUGUGUGUUUGGGUCGAAUCAGGUCCUCGACCCAUUCUGCACCUGUGGCUGCCCUGGCCACCCUGGCUCUUUCUGGGGAAGGAUGAGUCUCUACUGUUAAUUUGUAGCUGUCAUAUGAUAUAAAUUGCUUGUUUACAGAAAUAUAUAUUAUACUGAGCCCCCUGGCUCUUUGACUG